UUAGUAACGCGUGGGAACGUACCCUUUUCUACGGAAUAGCCUCGGGAAACUGAGAGUAAUACCGUAUACGCCCUUCGGGGGAAAGAUUUAUCGGGGAAGGAUCGGCCCGCGUCUGAUUAGAUAGUUGGUGGGGUAAUGGCCUACCAAGUCUACGAUCAGUAGCUGGUUUUAGAGGAUGAUCAGCAACACUGGGACUGAGACACGGCCCAGACUCCUACGGGAGGCAGCAGUGGGGAAUCUUAGACAAUGGGCGCAAGCCUGAUCUAGCCAUGCCGCGUGAGUGAUGAAGGCCUUAGGGUCGUAAAGCUCUUUCGCCAGAGAUGAUAAUGACAGUAUCUGGUAAAGAAACCCCGGCUAACUCCGUGCCAGCAGCCGCGGUAAUACGGAGGGGGUUAGCGUUGUUCGGAAUUACUGGGCGUAAAGCGCACGUAGGCGGAUCAGAAAGUUGGGGGUGAAAUCCCGGGGCUCAACCCCGGAACGGCCUCCAAAACUCCUGGUCUUGAGUUCGAGAGAGGUGAGUGGAAUUCCGAGUGUAGAGGUGAAAUUCGUAGAUAUUCGGAGGAACACCAGUGGCGAAGGCGGCUCACUGGCUCGAUACUGACGCUGAGGUGCGAAAGUGU
rnacentral:rRNA from 1 species